CCUACGGGAGGCAGCAGUAAGGAAUAUUGGUCAAUGGACGAAAGUCUGAACCAGCCAUGCCGCGUGAAGGAUUAAGGCCCUCUGGGUUGUAAACUUCUUUUAUCUGGGACGAAAAAAGGGUAGUCUUACUCACUUGACGGUACCAGAGGAAUAAGCACCGGCUAACUCCGUGCCAGCAGCCGCGGUAAUACGGAGGGUGCAAGCGUUAUCCGGAUUUACUGGGUUUAAAGGGUGCGUAGGUGGGCUUGUAAGUCAGUGGUGAAAUCUCCGGGCUUAACCCCGGAAACUGCCAUUGAUACUAUAGGUCUUGAAUUAUCUGGAGGUAAGCGGAAUAUGUCAUGUAGCGGUGAAAUGCUUAGAUAUGACAUAGAACACCAAUUGCGAAGGCAGCUUACUACGGAUACAUUGACACUGAGGCACGAAAGCGUGGGGAUCAAACAGGAUUAGAUACCCUGGUAGUCCACGCCCUAAACGAUGGAUACUCGACAUCAGCGAUACACUGUUGGUUGUCGUGAGCGAAGACAUAAGUACUACCGACCGUACGGAAGGUACGAGCGCGAAGUAGUUAGUUAACGUUACGUAAAGUUAAGUUAGUACGGCGUUGAGACGNGCCGACGGACGACGACGAGGGAGGAGG
rnacentral:rRNA from 1 species